AGGGCACCGCCGGCUGUGUUCUCGGUGCACAAGGCUGCGCAACACACUCGCUUGAGUGCUGAGGGCGAAUGGCUCUAUUCUGGUAUUGCAUUCCCCCGCUUUUGCAUGCGGGUGUGUAGAGUACGCGCAUCACUGCGGACGCACGCGCAGAGGCAGUGCUCAUACACAGAGACACGCAUACACCUACACACCCGCAUACAACUUCGUCUGAUGGGUGCGAUACAUUGAAGGGGUCAGAGAUUGUAUCGGGUCUGCCGGUGAGUCCAUUGUAGCUCACAUGGCGUAUGCGUAUGUGCAUGUGUGGCGAGAGAGGAGGCGAGCGCGCGAGAGUUGGCGCAACUUGGAUGGUGCUGCCGCCCGUGGGGCCUUCUGAUAAGAGCGAAACAGGGCGAGGUAUACGGUGACAGCGGUGAGACCCACAUGCUUACCUGUAGUUGUGGUGCUGUUUGCCACGGACUCGAGGCGCAUCGAGGGGGUGCGCAGAAGAGCGUUGCUGCCGUUGCCUUCGUGCCGAAGCCGCUUUGGCUGUGUGCGGAGUGGGUGUGUGGGCGUAUGUUGCGCACGCUCUCCCGCCACAGCUCCUUUCUGACCCUCUAGCUUCACAAAGGACAAAGAACUGGAGUGCGAUGGAGAAGGUGGUGGAAGCGAGAGAGACCCGGGAGACGGCAUGCGUGUAAAGCGAUUGGUAGUGAGAGGGAAGGUGGAGGAGGACAUGCUCGCACCCGCGCUGCUGCUUCGCCUUCCCUCUCCAACCGCCUUCCGCUCAGCUCUGCUGCCUCUCUUCGCAGUUUGCCCUCUCAAUCGCCUAUUCGCUUUCUCUGUUGCUUCCCUUCACCUCUUCGAUGGGGCCUUCAGUGUCAUAGCCUUUGGAGAUACUUCCUCAGCUGCCUAGUGCACGUGCGGGGCCUGUGCGAGGCUCUUUGUGUGGAAUGUUUGUGGCUGCAAAGCGAGGAUGUUUGAGGAGUCGUCUUCCCUUCGUUAUCAUGGGGACGCCUUGCUCCAUAGGAACUUCGCGAGAAGCGACGGCUGCAAAGUACGCGCACACGGAAGCGCUAUCAAAAACCGGUGUGCACGGAGGGAUGCCUCGCGUAUUUUAGCGUGCUCACCUUCUGUCUGGCUCUCUUUCUCCCCUAUCCUUGUGCGCUGGCGUCCGCGUAUACGCACGCGGUGCCUCUCUGUCCGUCAGCCCAAGCAGAGUCAGCUCGUCGUUUGUGGAAGCUAGGAGUCGAGGGGAAGGGAUGAGGGAGGGAGCAGGCCGCAAGGAAACGGCAACGGGUAAGAGCAACAGAAAUGUGGUCUGCGUGAAACUAGUGCGUGAUGGCAUCCUCCCGUCCCGCUUUUUCUUGGCCGCCACGUUAUGAUUUACCUCUUACACACCGCAGCCGGCAGCACCCUACCCUUUCUCCUUCAUCGCCGGCAGCCGAGCGUCUCAGCCGCGUGAAGACCCGGCGAUACCGUGAAGAACAG
rnacentral:misc_RNA from 1 species